GGUGAGAUGGCUCAGUGGUUAAGAGCACUGACUGAUCUUCUGAAGGUCCUGAGUUCAAAUCCCAGCAACUACA
rnacentral:tRNA from 1 species